rnacentral:rRNA from 1 species
AUUGAACGCUGGCGGUAGGCUUAACACAUGCAAGUCGUGCGAGAAAGUAUCUUCGGAUGUGAGUAGAGCGGCGGACGGGUGAGUAACGCGUAGGAAUCUACCUAGUAGAAGGGGAUAGCCCGGGGAAACUCGGAUUAAUACCGUAUACCUCCUUCGGGAGAAAGAAGGCCUCUCAUUGAAGCUUUCGCUACUAGAUGAGCCUGCGUAAGAUUAGCUUGUUGGUGAGGUAAAGGCUCACCAAGGCGACGAUCUUUAGCGGGUCUGAGAGGACGAUCCGCCACAUUGGGACUGAGACACGGCCCAGACUCCUACGGGAGGCAGCAGUGGGGAAUAUUGGACAAUGGGCGCAAGCCUGAUCCAGCCAUACCGCGUGUGUGAAGAAGGCCCUAGGGUUGUAAAGCACUUUAAGUUGGGAAGAAAAGUUAUUGGUUAAUACCCAAUAGCCGUGACAUUACCAUCAGAAUAAGGACCGGCUAAUUCCGUG